CCCCGCGUGGCUCAGUUGGUCGAGCGUGGUGUUUGCAACACCAGGGUUGUGGGUUUGAUUCCCACGGGGG
rfam:Salmo salar isolate Sally breed double haploid chromosome ssa09, whole genome shotgun sequence.